rnacentral:lncRNA from 1 species
UAAAGAACAGUGUAAGAGGGGAGUCUUGGUUGGUAUUUCUCUUAGGCCCUUUAUUCCAACAAGCCUGAUUGGAGAGGGGGUUCUGAUAUUCAGUAAGGUCAGAGAGGCUGGCCCCUGAGUUGACCAGUUGUGGCUGUCUUUCAGAUACAUUACUGGUGGACCCAUUGAUGGCAUCACAGAGGGGACCUUGGGAUUCUGACCACAUCAAUUGGCAGGUGAAGAUAAGGCUAUGAGGGCCACCAGGUCUUCUCCAGAUGUGUCAGGACACUUGGAGGGGAGAAAACUCAAGGGAGGGACUGAUUUCCCAGAGGACAAUCCAUUUUCCAGUGACCCUACUGUCCACAGUUGGGACAUGGCCUUGUAGGAAGCCCGAGAAAAGGGCAAGCUUUUGUUUAGUGGCCCAGAUUGCUGUAGUGAACCGUCCCUAGGUGGGUAUGAGGUGAAAACUUUGGUAGGUUUUUUCAGCUGUGAGUUGAACUGGGGAGGCCAGGAUUUGAUAUUUAGCGGUAGUCUGUUUUUUUUUUUUUUCAGUUCUCUGUUCCUCAUCUCAGUUUUUGAAAACAUUAAAGGCAAACUUUAUAAGCUCCUUCAGUGAUAUUUGUGGUUCAUUUUUUAAGUUUUGGAGAUUUUUGUGGAUGUCUGGAUAAGAUUUAGAGAUGAAAUGGAGAUAUAGAAGAGUUAGAUCUUCAGGAGAGUUAGGGUGGGUAUUUGUAUAUUUCAUCAUGACCUCUGAAAGGUGGCUCAUAAAGAAGGCUGGGUUUUUGUCUGCCCCCUGAGUGAUUUCUCUGAGGGGCUCAUAGUUGACCUGUUUAUUUUAAUUUUUUUUUUGUUCCUGCCAAGAGGAAAGUGAUCAUAUGAUUGGAAUCUGUCCUGCCAGGAUUGCCAAGUUGAUAUGUCCAUUUGGGGUCUUGAGGUUUAGCCCUGGGGUCUGCUCGAGCUGCCUCAGUGUGCCUGUCCAGGUAUUGGUGGUAUUUAUCAGCAUGGUUUUCAGCCACUCACCAAUAUGCUCCCUUUCCUUAUCAGCAAGGAGAAGGAAACAAGAGGAUAAGAUCAGUAUUUGAGAAAGAAAGAUGAAGGCAAACAGGCCCCUCAACACCUGCUACCUCAUGGAGGGGCUGAUGUAAGUUGGAGAAGAGAAGUGCCUGGAGAAGGAAGGGGCUGAUGGUUGGGAGGGCUGUGGACUGGUUGAGGUGGCUUAGGAAGUGGGAGGCAAUAG